GCUGGAACCAGCUUAUGUCGAACACUACAGGAAGGUCAUGAGAAGGAAGACAUGGCACAUAGGCCCCCUUUCUCCCUGCAACCGGAACACACACAAUAAAGCACAACAAGGAAAUGCAGCCUCUAAGGACACAGUUGAAUGCUUAAGAUGGCUAGACUCAAAGAAACACAAUUCAGUUCUCUAUAUAUGUUUUGGAAGCAUGUCCUGGUUUUCAGCUGCUCAGCUUUAUGAGAUUGCUAAGGGACUUGAAACUUCUGGACAGGAUUUCAUUUGGAUUGUAAGGAAGGUGAAAAACAAAGGCAAAGAGGAGUGGUUGCCAGAAGGAUUUGAAGAACAGAUGGAAGGGAUGAUUUUGAUUAUAAGGGGAUGAACACCUCAAGCGCUGAUUCUUGAUCAUGAAGCUGUAGGAGGGUUUGUGACUCACUGUGGAGGGAAUUCGACACUGGAGAGUAUCACUGCUGGAGUACCAAUGGUCACAUGGCCACUCAGUAAUGAGCAGUUCUAUAAUGAAAGGCUUGUUACAGAUAUACUAAGAAUAGGGGUUGGAGUUGGAGCCCAAGAAUGGUCUAGAUUGAUGGAAGAUAAGAAAGUACUUAGUGACAAAUGAAAAUAUAAAAAAGGCAGUGACUCAGCUGAUGGUUGGUGAAGAAGCCAAUGAAAUAAGAAACAGAGCUAGUGCACUGAAAGAGAUGGCAAAGAGGGCUGUUGAAGAGGGUGGAUCAUCUCACUCUGAUUUGAGGGCUUUAUUAGAUGAAUUGAGAUUGAAGAGACCUCAAGGAGAGCAAUGAGAGAUCUAUUAAAGGACUAAAGACAACAAUAAGUUCAUGCAUAAAGCUGUAGAUCUUGUAUCAAAAUAAAUAUUGAUAAAAAGUUCUGUAAACCUUGUUGUCUUCUCUCUUUCUUUUUAGUUUUCCUCUCUUUGUUUUUCCUUGCUGAGCAAAGUUAAGAAACUUUUAAUAUUUUGUUGUUCCAAGAGAUUCCCUUCCUGUAAGACUAUCCCCUCUUAGUUUUGGUUCUGACUUAAAAUAACGAAUGUACAAGAGAAUAGACAAUUGAAUCGCCAAAAAACCAAAACCAAGGAAAUAUAUUUUAACAAUACAAGACUUACAGGACAUUGCUCUAUUAGCUCAAGUAACCUUAAUCAUACCUAUUAACAUCUGAGGGAAAAAUGUUCAAGUCAGUCACCUUCCUUGCAAGUAAAACCUGCAUAAGUCAGUAAUAUAAAAUGUUAAUCUAGCCUUCAAAAAAAUAUAAAAGUUAAUAUAGGUCAACCAAGAUAAAUUCCCUAGUUCAGAAAGGAAAAAAUAAAUAAAUAAAAUUGUAUGAGGACACCAUUUGAGAAAUAAACAUUGCAGUUUCAGCAUUAAGCACUCAAUGAUCAUCACUUCAAAUGUGAAACCAUAACUCCAGACUAUAGAAAUACACCCACAUUCUUCAAGAUAGUUGAUAAAUGGAGACCCACACCCAGUAAGCAUGCUGAAGAAAAUGCCAAUUGUUAACAAAUACGAGUUCACCACACUCAAAACAUUGAUUUCUUGAAGAGGACAUUGCCCUUUUAAGCUAAAAGAACUAUACAAUUUUAAAUCAUAUUUAUUAACAUCCAAGGGAGAAGUGGUGACAAGAUAGCAACCUUGACAGGCCACCCAAGCUAAACCUGCUAAGUCAGUAAUAGAAAAGGUUAAUAUAGGUUGACAAGGUGAUUUCUCUAUUUCAGAAAGUACAUGUGUUUGCGAGAGGGAAAAAAACAUUUUAGUUUACAGAUGCCUUUUCCCUAGGCUAAUAUUCAAUACUCUUAAAAGACAUGGCUUAAAUCUUUAGGGUUUCCUCAGCCCAACAUCUCAGGAACCUGUGAAAGUUGCAAGUGUAAUGCUUGUCGAGCAAAAGUAAGGGGUGCUCAUGCAGAGGAAAUUGGAAACAAAGCAACAGCAUUUGAACUUCUUAAUCAGUUUUUCAAUCUGAUUUCCAUCACACUUCUGAAAAUAAUUUUCAGUGAUAGGUCUUCUAAAUCUUUAUUGCAUAGAGUAAACCAUCCAAAACAUAUACCUACCGCCAGACAUUGCAGCAAUUUAAUUUUCUAUUCAAAGCAAAGUGUGUAUGAUAAACUACUUAAUCACCAAAAGAUUACUCCAAAUCUGGACUUACAACAUAAUAGUAAAGGUGAAAAUUCAGCAACCCAUCACACUAACAAAAUUGUAAAGUGAAACUUCAUAAAAAACAUGUUAGCUUCUUUGUUGUAGUGUCAGCUUUCUUUCUUGUUGCUUCCCUGUUGUACGCUAUAGCAUGUUUAUCCAGCUUCUUUGGAUUAUAAAAUCACAUUUAUUAAAAAAAAAAAAAAGCAAAGUGAAAUUCAACAGAACAAACUCAAUAUCCUUCAGCACUGAUACGCACCAUAUCCAGCUUAACUAAGGCCAGCUGGAGUUAUUAUAUCACCCAAAAUUCUUUAAAUUUGUCUGAAAAGUAAUUAAAUAACUAGAUACGUGUAAAGAAAAAAAAAGUACAAACAGUGACAAUGAUAGAAACAAGAAGGGGUCUAGGCUUCUUAAAUCUUGCAAGCAUAC
rnacentral:lncRNA from 1 species